CAGGACGUAGCUAAAUCUAAAGCACUCAGCUUACACCUGAAAGAUGCCUUGAUAAAUAGGGCCGACCUGA
rnacentral:tRNA from 1 species